AAACGCAGAGGACCAGAACUUUGGGACGGGAGGCGGGGGUUUUGUUCGCAGGCUCCUUCUUCCCGCUCCUGGUUCUACGCGGCGUGCGCUGUACCACCAUCGGUGGUUAUGGCGCUUACCCCGUGAGGGGGGCUUGGGGAACCGAGUCUAGCGUUGUUAUAAGAAAUCAAUCUUUUGGAUCCAGCCAGGGUCCUCUAGCAGAAAAGGGGGAUGGGGCUCUCUUGGGCUCUCCCCUCCACGCCUGCGGGAUUCUGAUGGGAAUGACAACGGUCGGUCCAUUUGACUUUAUCAUUACGAUGGUUCUAGUCGUGUUAUGGUAAAGGUCUGUUGAGUGCAAUUGUAGAGCAAAUUGAUUCAAUUUGAA
rnacentral:RNase_P_RNA from 14 species